AUGGGGAUAAAAAUAGUUCCUACCUCCUGGGUUUGUUAGGAGGAUCAAGUGAGAUAGAAUUUGUAAAAAGCACAUUUAUAUAGCAUAUGGUAGGUGCUAUAUAAGUGCUUAUUCCUUCCUUCCAAUUCUCCAAUAUUUUGAAGUCUCGUAUUUCCCUGAAGAUACAUUUUUACUUCUCCUCCAUCUUCUUCACCAUUUAUAUAUAAGGGAAAUACACAUAUGUUUUAGGAAAUUUCCAUAUUUAAUAAGUUAGACAUUUCUAUAUUUAAUAAGUUAGAAAAUCAAAUGUAAAACACUGGUUAGCAAACAUGAAAGGGACUAUGAUAGCUAGGAUUUCUUUUCAUUGUAAAGAAUGAAUUGUAGGCAGUCAUGUUCUGGGAAAUGCUUAACAAUGGGUUCUCUAGGGGGGAAAAGUACCCACUGUACAUUUUAAAAUUGAAUCUGUAUUAUUAAUUUUUUUUUUUGCUAUUGCUUUCUUCAAGGUAGAAAUUGACAAAACAAUCAACAAAAUAAUAAGCCAAACUCUGACUUGUAUCUUUUGCUGAUCUCUGAGGUGUAAAUGCUCACACUGAAAAUUUAACAUCUGGCUCCAUUUGGUUCCAGUACCCUCUUGAUUGGAGUUGUUUACUGAAUGGGAGGAACUGAAUAAGAACCCUAAUGCUGACUUUUGCUGAUUUUCAAGCUGUGACUUUUGUCAGCCCUCUUUUCUUCCUACUCAUGCAUUUUAUCACUUAUACCAAAAUUAUAUCAGGUCACUUUCAUGAACAUGCACACUUAGAUCAUGAAUAUCUAUAUGUGUAUACUCAAUGAGAGGCAGCAUGAUAUAGUGCUUAGAGGACUGACAUUAGAGUUAGGAAGGACCUGGAUUCAAAUCCGCCAUUUAACACUCCUUGGCUGUAUUACUAAUCACUUAAUCUCCCAAUGCUCUGGGGCAAUUCUCCGAGUCUGUGAAUUACAGAUAAAUUAUUGCAUCAUAGGAAGGAGUUUCCAUGCUGGGAGUUCUCUAUCCCAGUGGAAUCACAUGUCCUCUUUUCCCCACCUCCCAAUUGUCAUAGAAUGUACAUCCGUACAUGUAUUUUUACAUUGAAACCAUCACCCACAUAUAAGAAAAUCAGCAGAAACGAACGUUUAACAGGAAUAUAAUUCUCUUAGAGUCUUUGCUUUGGCUUGUCAUUCCUGCACAUGGGGAUGUAGAAUUCAAAGAGGAAGGAGGAUAGUAUAAACACAUGGGAAAAGCUCAGUUUUCCAUCCAGGAGGAAUUUGCCAAAGCAGGAUGUCUCACUCACAUGCUGAAAACAGGAGCAUGUCUUUUCUCACAACCUGCAAACCAGCUAGCUGAAAGAUUGACAGCUGGCCAAAAGAACGCACACCUCGUUCUUCGAUCUAGGCUGCCAGUGUUUUAAUCACAGUCCUGGUGAUGAGCGGCCUGGGAGGGCUCGCCUUUCACACACUAACUCAAACAAACACAGCAGAAUGUCUCCGCUGCUCUCCAAGCCCUUUCCUGCUUUAGCAUUCCUGAUGUACUCCCUAUGCGCUGCAUACUUUAAAAACUCAACCAACAUGCUAGGCUUUGUGUCAUCUUACAUCACUUCUCCUUAUAAAUAGCCUUUGGGAAUGGCAGGGGAAUGUUACCACUAAUCACGGAGGCGUUUGGAAGGCUUUGGUCUCAGCAAAUAAGUACUCUACUGAAUGAACGCGUUACAGAACUACAGAGAAAGUCCGAAUUGUAGAAGCCCUUUGACUUGCUGGAUAUCAAAGUUAGGCAGCCUAUUUUUCAGAAAGAAGCCUAGGACUUCUUCCCAUGCAAUUUUUUUUCCUACUUAGGGGCAGAUUUAUUGAAAGCUGGCAUCAAUUAAUACAGAUGCCUGUGUUCACAGCAAAGAGGCAAGGGAACCGAAGUAAGCACUCACCAAAUGACCCGCGUAGCUGCAUACAGUAUGUCUUUCUUUUUGUCCCUGGCAAGGAAGUCGCUGCCUCUUUAUCAUGCACCCAGGGAGCUUCAAUGCUAAAAAGGCAUCAGAACUAGGAGAGAAGUUUGUUGUGCUCAGAGAUGCCAAAUAUGAAUAUUCAAUUAACAAGAACAACGGCAAAAAAAAAAAAAAAAAAAUUACAGAAGUCAUAGUGUGUAAAUUAAGGAUGCCUGGGAGCAAUUACUCUGGAUGGCAAAGCCAGUUCGACAUUAAAAAUACCCUGUAUUUCUUUGUUUUCAACUCAUGAACAAAUAAACGCUAAAAAUGUGUUUAUCUGUUCUAACAGAGAAAACAAACAAUUUCCAUAAUGCAUAUAUUAAGAGAGAAUGCAUAGCUAUUUCCUAUCACUGGAGGCAGGGAAAUUUGGUAAAGGGUGAAAGGAGUAAGAGUAGAGAAGUAAGUACUUGACCAAAAGCUAUCCUGGCACAGUGUGAUCUUUCAAAGGCCAGAGCAUGCCAUGUCCCACAUACUGAUUUUUUGAAUAGACCUCUUGCCAAGAUAAAUUCUCUCCGGACUCUAGAAUUUAUAGGAUGUGCUUAGCUUGCAUUAAGAACCCAGCAGUUUCUUCCCUUCACAAACAAGUCUUCUUGAGCAAGGCAAGACAUAAAUGGAAAAGAUGCUUUGCUAAUUAUUUACAUAAAGACACAGAGAGAUGCAAUCUGGCUCUUGUGUUUAUUUCAUAUUAUUGCUUGGCCUACGAGUCAAUGAUGGAAGUGAACAUUUUCGUUCUGUUUGUCUCCCUUGACUUUGUUAACUUUCAGGACUACCCAGCAAGUUCUUUGAAAAAAAAAUUGGAAAGCAGCCUGGGAAAGGGUUUUAGCCAUGACUGGCAUGAAGAAGGAAUUGCCCUGGAGCCUACACAUUGGAUAAGGCCUGGGAUUUCACCUGAAGUGUGAGUGUGCUUCAGUAAGAGAAACAGCAUUAAGAGAGAUAUCAGUGGAAAAAAAAGAAUUAAUGGGAAAUCUAGCUUCGUUUUAUCAUGUGAGCUUUUGUCACUGUUUUACUGACCUAUAUCAAGUGAGGAUUACAGAGAUUAGUGAAAGGAAUACUUAAUAGCUCAACUGUGGAUUCCAAAGAGGAUUAUCUCUUAAGAUAUUUUAUGUAUCCCAAUACUUUGUUCCUCCUUCUACAGGGCUGAUUAACUCAACUCUGAUGAUAGCAUCCUUUUCUACAGUAGGAUAUGCCACUGGUGUGGUGGUAUCUGUGUAUAUACUAACAGAGUGGAAUGGAGAAUUAUAUGCAUUAGACAAAUUUGAUUCACAGAAAUAUUCUGUGACUGAUUAUGUAACUCCCAAAGUAAUUCAGGGAAGUCCAAAAAUCUUAACAAGGAAGGAAGAUUUCACUAACAACCUCAUCUUUUCCCUUAAUAGCAGGUUCCUUUUAUCAUUCCCCUCUGUUACAAUGAUCUCUAUAGCGAUACAAUUAUACACCUCUUUCUUAAAACUAUCUAUAUUUUAAGUUUUCUACUUCACCUAGUAUAAACACGGUUCUUAGUUAACUCUUCAGAAAAGGUUGAGAAUUCAGGUCAGUUAUUGAAUGGAAGAAUUUUGGACACGAAAUAAAUUUUCUCCAAAAAAAAUUUUCAGUCUCUUCUGUGGGUGGCAACAAGCCUUCUUCACAUUAAUUAAAUAUGUCAACAUGUUCCGUGAAAUAAUUUAAACUUUAUUGAAGGCUUUCAUUUCCCAUAGCCAUUAUAGAACUUGAAAGCACAUGAGCAAUCUGAUACCAAUAAGCUUUUCCCAUAUAUUAUUAUGUUGUUUGUUCUCUCCCAGUAGCUAAUAUGGUUACAUUUUGAUCUAUACUUAUUCACAAAUCUUGUAGAAGUUUGUAGCAGUGACAAGAUUAGCACUCUUGAACAACACUGGCCUUUGAAGAAGCCAUUUAUUGAGAUAUUAGAAUAGUUCAUCCUGCCUAAUGUGACAAUAAGUUAACAACUUAAUAUGUUUCAUAUGACCUAUUCACAAUUCUAUUUUGGCAUAACUAUCAUGUAUAUUCAUAAAUAAUAUUAUUCUGGUUUCUUUUGAAGUUUUGCUUAUAAGUUUAAAUAUUACCAUUUGUGAAUAUUUUUUAUGGAAGAUAUAAGGAAGACUGACACAAAACUUCCUAAUUCUCUAUUUUUAUGCCACAAAAUCAUGCUUAUGGUUUCAGGUAACUUUUUUUUUUAAAGCUUAUCCAUGAUUAAUUGUUAUAUUAUUAAAUUAAGUAAUUAUGAUUAUAAAAAGUAUUAGGGAUUUACUAGGAAAUGUAUUAUUUAUAUAAUACCUUGCAGUUUCAAAACAUGGAUUUUUACAUCCACUCUAUCAUUGAAACUUCACUCAUGAUUCUAUAAGAUUGAUGGUCCAUCUCUAUUUUAUAGUUGAGGGAAUUGGAUUUAGUUAAGUGAUCCACUCAAAGUUAUGCAAGUCAUCAGAGGGGGAGCUGAGAAUAGAACCUAGAUUCCUCUGACUUCAGGGUUUAAAAAAAUGACAUGUAUAUGUAUAUAAUAUUAUACCACAUCUUUACCUCAUAUACUGUAUUGCUUUCUUGUGACUUAUUUGAUAAAUCUUUAAGCUCCCUCUGCCAAAGGACUAUGACUGAACACUUACCUUUCUCUCAAACCCUUUGUUGACUAAGCAGGGCAAAUGUGAAUGGAAGGAUAGAAGAAGAAAUCCCAACAGCUUUCUCCAGUCUUCCAAGUGGGCCUUCACAUAUGGCUUCAUUAUUUCAUUUUAAAAAGCAUUGUGAAUUCACAGCUGCCAGAGAAAUCCCAUAUAGAAAUAUGAGGAAGCUCAUACCCAGAGAGGAUGAUUUGCCUAAAGUCAUGUUUCUAGGAAAUGAAUGAGCUUGGAUUGGAAAUCAGGUCUUCUGACUUUACAACCAUUGGUCAUUUUGAUAUAACAGACCUGAGUUAGAGUUUCUUCAAUUCUAAGCCCCUAUACUCUCAAGUUACUAAUAACUGUAUUUAUUUAGAUAUAAAUGAAAUACCUGUUUUAUUUUUCCUGUAUAGACAUGCCCAUGCUGAUAACCACAUAUUGUAUUUUAUCACUUGUGAAUGAUUUUGAAAAACUAAAUGAACAUGUUUGACAACUCCAGUUGUCUGGAAAGUUUUUUAAAGACAAUCUAAAGGAAUCAGAUGAAUAUGUCAUCAAAGAGCAAUGAGAUGGAUUCCCAGGAUUCUAGCUAUAGGAGAAUGAAUUUAUAGCAAAACUCUUUUUCUAUAGUGUAUUUGGUUCAAUAUUACUCUGCAAAAAGCUAUAUUAUAUACAUUUCUAAAGUACUGUACUUUAUUUAAGCAAUGAUGAGAGAGGAAACAUGUCACGUUUCAGUUUCCUUUCCCUUGUUAGCAUAUUAGGAUGCAAAAAAUCCAAUAAAAUUUAGUGCAAUAUUUACCUUAUAUUUUUAUAUUAAUUCUUAUAAUACUGAAUUCAAUGUAAUAUUGUUUUACUCAUUGAAAAAUGAGUCAAGUCAAUAAAUAAUCAUUAUUUAAGAAACAUGUAUUAAGCAUCUACUAUUUUUCAGGGAAUUGUGCUGGAGGCAAAAACAUGGUCCCUGCCCUCAAAGAAUUUACUUUCUAAAGGGGAGUCAAAAUGCAAACAAUCAUAUUUAUACAAGAUAGGUGCAAGGUAAAGGCAAAAUGCUUUUUUUCUUUUAAAGGAACAUCGUAUUCUAUCCCAUUUCCCAAUAAUUUAAAAUAUUUUACCUGAGGUUCUUUUAGUGACCAAUGUUUAACACACCUAUGUCAAGACGAAUCAGUCAACCGCAGGAGUGGAGCAAAGAAAAUUUGUCUAUAGAGAAAUUAACCCAAUGAUAACUGAGUUAAUCACCCAUAGCCUAAAUUUGUCUUCCAAGUUGUUCUUCCAUUAGGUCAGAAUUUGACUUUGUGGCUGCAUUUCCUAAGUGGGGAAGAAACAGGAACAAAAGGUGGACGCUGAAAAAGAAGAAAAUUUAGGCUUACCAUGAGGAGAUAAAACCCCACCUUUCUAACAAUUAGAACUGUUCAGACCUGUAAUAGAUAGCCUUGGGAUAGAGUAGCAUUUGUUUUAUAUGAGAUCUUCCAUCAAAUAUGAAAUGACUACUUGUCUGAUACAUUCAGAAGCAGAUAUUUUUUCAGAUAUGGAGUAGACUAAAUGUAUGAUGUCUAUUUGAGAUCUGAAAUUGAAGUACAGAAAAAAAUACCUGAAUUAAUCUAUUGUAUGUAUUUUAAAAACUAUAUGUUAUAUGUAUGCCUAUAAUUUAACAUGGUAAUACUGUUUUGUCCCACAUGUCUGUAUUAUUUUCUGAACUUUUAUUCUUUUCUUUCUAUUUUUAGUUUCACUGGGACUCUACUUCUUUUUUGUAUUACAAUCAUUACCUCCUGCUCUCCCUCCAACAUUUCUGCUGCUCUACCACGAAUGCAAUUUUGUGACAAAUCAGUAUGGUUAAGUAAAACAAAAUUGGUGGUAUGUUGUUCAUACCUGAAAAUGCAUGUCUCAUUUUAUUCUCACAAUCCAUAAUCUCCCAUGACUUAAGUUACAUUCUUCCCCAUUAGUCUUCUGUAGUUGUAUUUGGCCAGUUAUUGUAUUUGUUCUGAGUUCUUAAGUCAUUUAAACUUGUUUAAAUUUACACUGGUGUAAUCAUUGCAUAGCCUCCUGGUUCUGCUCAUUUCAUUCUUUAUCAAUUCAAAUAAGUCUUCUAAGGUCUCUGAAUCUGUUUAUUUAAUAAUUUCUUGAUACAAAUCCAAUAUAAUUCUAUCAUUUUAAAAUAUGACCUUUUGAAACAUUUUAUUUAAUAUUUUGCAUUGCUAUUCACUAUGGAAAUGAUUAUGCUUAGGUCUGAAAAGGAAGCACAUUGAAGUGAGCAAUUAUUUUGUUUUUUGCUGACUCUUUUUGCAGUGUGAUUAACUUUUCAUCAAAGAACUUAGAUGCUGUGCCAUUUGGUCCAUAUACAUUAAAUAUUGAUACUAUUUUAUUAUCGAUGGUUCCUUUAAGGAUAAUAUAGUUUUUAUGUUGGGUUCUGAGAGAGUGAGGCUAAUGACUUUGUAUAGCUCUACUUCACUUAAAUCCAAUUUGUGUGAAAGUCAAGAUAUCUUUUGUGAUGUCAUUGUUCCACUUUGAGAACAAAGUACAAAUAACAUGUUUUUCCUGCUUUUCCUUUUUAACAAAGACUGUUUAUUUUUUACUAUUGUCUUGUCUAAGAUCAUGAUAAUUCCCCCCCUUUUUUGAAUUUGCCCAGAGAAUAAUAAAUUAUGCCCCAGCCUUUCAUUUAACUCUUUGUGAAUAUGUUGCAAAUGUAUUUUUCAUAAACAACAAAUUACUGGAGUCUUCUUUCUAAUUUAUUGUCCUACAUUUCUCUGUUUUAUGGAUCAGUUUAUCCCAUUUGUAUUCACUUUUAUAGUUUUUAAUUGUGUAUUUUCCUCCAUUAUGAUUUCUUAUACUCUUUCCUCUUUAUUAUCUACCAUUUCUUUCCCCAAAAGA